UACGUAGGGCGCAAGCGUUGUCCGGAAUUAUUGGGCGUAAAGAGCUCGUAGGCGGUCUGUCGCGUCGGAUGUGAAAGCCCGGGGCUUAACCCCGGGUCUGCAUUCGAUACGGGCAGACUAGAGUGAUGUAGGGGAGACUGGAAUUCCUGGUGUAGCGGUGAAAUGCGCAGAUAUCAGGAGGAACACCGAUGGCGAAGGCAGGUCUCUGGGCAUUAACUGACGCUGAGGAGCGAAAGCAUGGGGAGCGAACGGG
rnacentral:rRNA from 1 species